CUCAUUCGCAGUAACCAGACUGCGCUGUGCGCGGGGAACUUCAAUUUUUUUCCGAAUGUGUUGUUUAUUUUGGUUGAAAAUUCGAAAUUCCUUAUUGCAAAUGGGUGUUCAGUUGUCAAAACGAUGGUUUCUGUGUGAUGCAACGAAGACUCAAUUAAUGAAAUAAAAUUUCCCCAAAGUUUUGUACCAAACUGCGCUCAAUCGUGGCAGCGUGUCGACCGUAAACUUGAAAAGUGGCCUAGGCCUACAUUUAUCCGGAGAGGAAACCCUUGGUGGAGCACUGUAUUGUGAAUCGCCCGUAAGAAACCACUGUGUACAAUCUUGGAAGGCCUACAUGUACAUGUACGUAGUCGGUCACCAAAACCUCAUCAGGCUGUCGAGCAGCAGUGCCCGGUGCUGUAUAGAAUUUUCCUGGACCACUUCCCUUGCUACCGAACACACAUCGCAGCUCCCACUUUGCCCAGACUGAUGUCUCUUACACUCCCCUAUGGGCUUGAACUUCAGAAAUCCAGGCCUCUUGUCAACUCUGGGAAUAAUGCGAACUGCCAACACUGUCAAGUCUUUGUUGAUACAAACUUGAUUGUUGCAUAGAGUGAGAGGAACUCACUAUCCGCUGCCGUCCUUGUCACCUCUCUUGCUGUCUCCAAUGAAUGUUGUAUUCUCUCCGACGCCAAACUCAUUUCUGCCAGCUUUUGCAAACAGUCUGUUUGAAUGUUUUCGAUGUCAUCGAUGAUGCGACAUCUGCCAUGACUCUCUCCGCUUUAAUAUCCAGGUCGCGUUUCAUUCUUGAAACUGUUUCACAAGAUUCAUGGAGUUCGUUCAGGGUUUCUUCCAAAGGAGAUACUGCCACUACUGUGGCUGACAGGUGUGGACUACCUGUCAUCUGAACUCUACCCCUCAAUCUGUCUGCCUCAGGUGGCCCUGCUUGGAGUAUUUGCCUCGAGUAGAAGCCCCAUCCCUCCUCAUCGUUGUGAGUGGGGAGUGUUCAGUAAGUGCUGUCUUGUUGGUAGCAAUGCGACUGUGAUGUGUGUAUUUCAAAGUUGUUUGUAGACCAGGAAUUGCCUUCACCACCAAGGGAAUCAACACUGUGAAGGAAAUUGGGCGCCCUCUCUUGGCCCUGUGCAGGGCAGUUUGGGACUCCAGUCAGCAUAGCUCUCGGGCUGACUGAAGAGGACACUCUGAGGGGAGCAGUCUGUAGCAAUGCCUCAGAGUUCUCCAAAAUACCAUCGCUUUGCACUGUUCCCCUUGUUGUACAUAAACCACAAAUUGGGCAAAUCCUACGCUCCCACAAUGCAUUCUGAGUCCCCAAUGCAUUCUGGAUGAGGACCACUCCUAUACUCAGGAUUCUGAGUUUGUAAACUCAAGAUAGAUCAUAUCUUUUCUGUGACCAGUCUUCAUGUGGCAAAUACAGUAACCAGAAAUUAACAGUUUCACACUUAGGAGAGCGUUACCACUUGUCACUUGACCUUUGUCCCCGUCCCCACCAUAGCAGUACCAACCCUACUUGAUCUCCCCUGAAUUAUCAGAGUUUAGGCAACCAUCAUCCUCUGUGACACCUGUGAUGCUUCCUGGCAGUUCAACAUUUCUUCUUCCUGUUGGCUGCAGGAAAUGACCUUUUUUUCAGUUGGAACGUCAAGCCCAAAUGAACUCCACCACAUCUUGGGCCAGAAUUCUCCUGCUAUUUUUUUGUUCUGAUGGUUUGGAACUUUAUCUGAGGAAGGAACAUCUACAGAGAGACGCCAUCCCCAGAGCCUACAGGAUGCAUGCCAUCAUCAUCCUUGGAUUGAGACCAACCUAUGGCUGCAGAUUCCUCCUGGAUGUGUCUGGUACCAGCUGCCCUCGCAUUGUUACCUGAUUGUAGAGUGACAUGAUUGAGUAUCCUGACUCGUCUACCUCUGUGCUUGCAGUACUUGGUAAUGUCCCGAUGCUGACACCAUACGGCACCAGUUGGAGUCACAAAGCACUGUGCAGAAAGUACACUGGAGUUUGCAGGGUGUUGUGUUUACUGUGGCCUUUCAUCAUGGAGAUGCAGUUACCUGGCUGAAAGAGCGUAGGCAGAAGAACAUCAGCGUGCCAAGCAGGGUGAAGUGGUUCCUGUCUACCGUGGUCCUUGGAGGGGCUUCACCUCACAAACUUGGCCAGUGCAAACAAGGUGCUCCAAAGCUCAAAGAUUAAAUUUGCCAAAAAAAAGAGUCCAGCAUUGUCUUGACACAGUAAACAGGGUUUCAGGCUUGAAAUAGGGAAUGUAGCUGUUUUUAGUCGAAGAAAACAGCCACGUUUGCAGGACAGGUUUGGUAUCGAUGUAUCGUCUCGAGAAAAGUAAUCUUAUUUUAAAGCUGCAGGGGAUCGUUCUGAGAAACAAUUUUUCUGCAACUUUAUACUCUCCGAUGUUUCAAAAGUCUUUCCUGUUGGAUAAAGGCAUUGAAAAGUGCUCAUUUUAAACAGUGAAAAUUAUGCAUGCUUUCCUGGACAACUGAGGGCGUUAUUUCUGUGAUGUCCUGGGAAGACAUAUGUGUACUUGUUGUUCAUUGCUGGGUUUUUAUCAUUUCUGAAAAAGAGAUUAAUGUUUACUUCUUCCUGUAGACAUAGCAGUGAACCAGCAAAGAAAUGGAGGGCUUUUUUGUGUGCAAACAGGUGUAACAUUGAGGCUUUCUUCCUGAGAUGACAUCACAGUUUUGCUUAUGAAUAUUGAAAUAUCAUUAGCAUAAAAACCCAAGACGCAGUAAAUUACCUUAAAAAUAGUGAAAGAAAAGCCAGAAACUAAGGUUAACUGUGACACAGAGAUGGCUAUUAGAGAUUUGUUUUCAAACAAAUUCAGUAAACGAAAUUGCAAGUAUUUUGCCUUCUGUGCAGCUAGAUAGACUGAUUUAUGCACUAAAAGUUGGAGCUUUAAAAUAUCUGUGAAAUUGUUUGUGACUGCACAAAAUCAUAAUUAUGCCCUUUUCCACAUUUGUGUAAAUGGAGAUUGUAUACUCUAUUUAAUUCUUAAUUGAGUAAGCUUGAAAAAAAUAAUGGGUAUUUCUCAGAACUUUCAAUUUUCUGCUUUAUUACUUUUUUGUGUAAUUUCUUUCAAAAUGCAGAAGCAGGCAUUGUAAAUUCCUCUCAUAUUCCAAGUCACAAGUAGCUUGAACAAGAGACAUGUUUUUACUGAAUUUUCUCAAAGAUGCCUGUUUGAAAGCAAGAGGACCUGAAAAAUCUUUCUCAAAGUGAAAAGUUACUUUUCCACCAUUUGUUUUUUUGUGAAAGAGACACGUUAAAUACCAAAAUGAAUAUUCUGAAGCAGUUGGUAAAGAAGUCCUUACCUACUUCAUUGAGGCAUGAAUUUAUAUUAAACUGAAUACAUCGAAGUCGGUAUUUAUCAAUCCGUUUCAGCCCUCAUAAGUAUACUGUCUUUUCCGUGUGUUUGCAUAUUCAAAUUUUAUUUAAAUAUAUGCAGAUAAGCUGUGUCCCCUGACCUUUUUUGAAAUUGCGCAAUCCUAACCUUUAAAUAUUAGU